rnacentral:rRNA from 1 species
CCUACGGGAGACAGCAGUGAGGAAUAUUGGUCAAUGGACGAGAGUCUGAACCAGCCAAGUAGCGUGAAGGAUGACUGCCCUAUGGGUUGUAAACUUCUUUUAUAAAGGAAUAAAACGAGGCACGUGUGCCUUUUUGCAUGUACUUUAUGAAUAAGGAUCGGCUAACUCCGUGCCAGCAGCCGCGGUAAUACGGGGGAGCCGAGCGUUAUCCGGAUUGAUUGGGUUUAAAGGGAGCGUAGAUGGGUUGUUAAGUCAGUUGUGAAAGUUUGCGGCUCAACCGUAAAAUUGCAAUUGAUACUGGCAGUCUUGAGUACAGUUGAGGUAGGCGGAAUUCGUGGUGUAGCGGUGAAAUGCUUAGAUAUCACGAAGAACCCCGAUUGCGAAGGCAGCUUACUAAACUGUGACUGACAUUGAUGCUCGAAAGUGUGGGUAUCAAACAGGAUUAGAUACCCGGGUAGUC